GAACGGUAACAGCAGGGGCUUGCUCCUGGCUGACGAGUGGCGGACSGGUGCGUAACGCGUAGGAAUCUGCCUAUUAGUGGGGGACAACAUGGUGAAAACCAUGCUAAUACCGCAUACGCCCUACGGGGGAAAGCGGGGGAUCUUCGGACCUCGCGCUAAUAGAUAAGCCUGCGUUAGAUUAGCUAGUUGGUGGGGUAAAGGCUCACCAAGGCGACGAUCUAUAGCUGGUCUGAGAGGACGAUCAGCCACACUGGGACUGAGACACGGCCCAGACUCCUACGGGAGGCAGCAGUGGGGAAUAUUGGACAAUGGGCGGAAGCCUGAUCCAGCAAUACCGCGUGUGUGAAGAAGGCCUGAGGGUUGUAAAGCACUUUCAAUUGGGAGGAAAACAGGCAGGUUAAUAC
rnacentral:rRNA from 1 species